rnacentral:rRNA from 1 species
UACGUAGGGGGCAAGCGUUGUCCGGAUUUAUUGGGCGUAAAGAGCGUGUAGGCGGUCUGGUAGGUCCGUUGUGAAAACUCGAGCUCAACCUCGAGACGCCGAUGGAAACCCUCAGACUAGAGUCCGGAAGAGGAGAGUGGAAUUCCUGGUGUAGCGGUGAAAUGCGCAGAUAUCAGGAGGAACACCGAUGGCGAAGGCAGGUCUCUGGGCAUUAACUGACGCUGAGGAGCGAAAGCAUGGGGAGCGAACAGG